rnacentral:rRNA from 1 species
CCUACGGUGGGCAGCAGUGGGGAAUAUUGCACAAUGGAGGGAACUCUGAUGCAGCGACGCAGCGUGAGUGAAGAAGUAAUUCGUUAUGUUAAGCUCUAUCAGCAGGGAAGAAAGUGACGGUACCUGAAAAAGAAGCUCCGGCUAAAUACGUGCCAGCAGCCGCGGUAAUACGUAUGGAGCAAGCGUUAUCCGGAUUUACUGGGCGUAAAGGGAGAGUAGGUGGAAUAGCAAGUCCGAAGUGAAAACCCCAAGCUCAACGAUGGGUAUGCUUGAGAAACUGCUCAGCUAGAGUGCAGGAGAGGCAUGUGGAAUUCGUAGUGUAGCGGUGAAAUGCGUAGAGAGUAGGAGGAACACCAGUGGCGAAGGCGGCUUGCUGGACUGUAACUGACACUGAGGCUCGAAGGCGUGGGGAGCAAACAGGAUUAGAUACCCCAGUAGUC